rfam:Brachypodium distachyon strain Bd21 chromosome 1, whole genome shotgun sequence.
UACGUACUCCCUCCGUCCCAUAUUAGAUGUCUCAAAUUUGAUCAAAUAUGGAUGUAUCUAUGUUUAAAAGACGUUUAGAUACAUGUAAUAUUUCGACAACUAGUAUGGGACAGAGAGGGAGUACUAU